CCUCCUUUCUAAGGAAAUCGAAAAAUAUGAAAACAAUUAUUUUCGAUUUAAAACAAUCGGUUAAUGUGACCGUCCUCAUUUCUCUUCUUUUAAUGUCUCUAAGUAAAUCGAGGGGCCGGUAGCUCAGUUGGUUAGAGCGCACCCCUGAUAAGGGUGAGGUCGGAAGUUCGAGUCUUCCUCGGCCCACCAAUAUUAUGGGGGAUUAGCUCAGCUGGGAGAGCGCCUGAUUUGCAUUCAGGAGGCCAGCGGUUCGAUCCCGCUAUCCUCCACCAAAAUUUUAGACAUUUAGCUUUUUUAAAUUGUGAAUAUUAUUAUUAUCAAUAUCUAUAUCCGAUUGUUUUCAGAUAUUUUUUUUGAAAACAAUCAAAACAAAAAUUUAAUUUAUUACAGAAAAAUUUUUUUCUGUGCAUAAAUCAAGCGUUUAAGGGCGAUUGGCGGAUGCCUUGGCACUGUAAGACGAUGAAGGACGUGGUAUACUGCGAUAAGUUUCGGGGAGUUGUAUGCAAGCUUUGAUCCGAAGAUUCCGAAUGGGG
rnacentral:misc_RNA from 1 species